rnacentral:misc_RNA from 1 species
ACGGACUCCGUGUGAUGACUGUGAAGAUGAAGUGAUAGUCUAUAAACGACAAUACAACGCCAAUCGUUCUCUCUGGAGACGAUGAAGAUUCGUGAUGACGUCAUUUGUGUUGACGUAACUAACAUAUGUGAGAUUAUUGUAUUGUAAAAAGAAACUACGAUGUCGUUUUUUGAAAAAAAAACCCGACAGAUUGUUACAUUAGAUGUUUUGAAAUCGAUAGAACAAAAGUGAAAGUGAAAGAAAUCCAUUUAUUGUUGACAAUGUGUACAUGUAAUGUUUCGUAAUUUAAUUCGUUCAACGUGGCAUCAUGUUUCAAUUAUAAAUGAUGCCCUUGUAUCUGUACAUAUUUCAAUCGAUAUUUAUUUCGUUCAUAUUUGUUAUGCAUGAUCACCCCUUUUUCCAAGUGCAAUUUUUAACUAAAAGAAAUUAAAAAAAUACUUCGACGUG